rnacentral:lncRNA from 1 species
UUUUCAGCCAUUUUUGGGGGCACUUCCAGCCACUGUUCGUUUUCCAUUUGGAAAUGGGUGGGAAAUUGAGCAAAAUUGGGGCUGAAAUGGGGACGACCCACCCGGGGUGAAACACCGCCUUCUGAAGCCAUCGCCCCGAGUCCGUUCAGAUCUCCAAUUUGGGUGAAAAACAGCACAAAUACCUAUUUUCUCCCUUUCCUACACGUUUUUUGGGAGGUUUUGCUGCCGGGUUCUCUCUGCCUUUUCGUGUCGAGCGUCCACGCUGCCUCGGUUUUGGGAUAAUUUCCUGCGGUUUUGGUGCUUUCACUGAUCUGUGCGAAGAUCCCUUGCUGCCAACACCCUUUUUUUUUUUUUUUUUUUUUUUUUUUUUUUUUUUUUUUUUGUUUUUACCUCAGAACGAAACGGCCGCUUUUCCCUCGCGUAUCCCUCAGGGUUUUGGUUAAAAACGGAGCAAAAAGCCUCGCCCUGCUCACCGAGGAGCGGUAAAUAAAGAAAAUAUCCUUUAAAGUCCUUUUUUUUUU